CAACGUCCUAUAAUCCUACCAAGUAAAGAGGAGGCUCUAAGCCUUGCCUUUAACAUUCGCUCUUCACCUACGAAUUCAACGUCUCCGUUAAGCAUAGGUUCGUCAACCGAAAAACAAAAAGACCCUUUUGGAUCAUCUUUUGCCCUAUGCUUGGUGCGGCUAUUACUUAACUCGGAAAUAUUAUUAUUGCGUUCGCGAGACGUAGAAGGAGCAUACGGUUGACCAGAAGGUUUGACAAUCAAGGUAGUAUCCAAAGGAUAUGGCCUCCUAAAAGAACCAAUGGGAGUGAUUGAGACCUUUAACAUAGGCUCAAUAUGAGAAUAUAAUAAUUUAGAGAAAGAUUCCGGUCCAUCACGAUACAGAAUGUCCAUAACACGCUGAGCAAGUUCGCAAGAGGAUUUCGAGAUAUCCUCUUGUUGUUCGAGUAAAACAUUUUGGAAACAUAAACGAAGAGUUAAACCCGUAAUCCAACUACAUGAUGUUUGUACGGAAAUAAAUUUUGUCAAAGCGUAUACAACAGAUCGACGGACACCAGUAAGGGUAUAGCGCAUAAGAUGAAAAAGCCUAGGAACCAAAGUUUCAAAUGAAAACUCAGGAUCGCUAUUUGCGGUCUCUUGCAUAAGGUUCAUUACUUCAGUAAACGAGCAUAAAGAUGACAGAAGGUCCAUAACACAAGAAGUAGAAGAAGAAAGAUCAUCCUUAACAUCGUCUAAGCAAUCCCACAAAACUUUUAGCAAAUUCUUGCAGGACGAUAAUUUCUCCUGGACCAAUUUAUCGGCGAUUGGCAAGAGAGUAAGUGCACUAACAGCACGGACAUCAUCAUCGUGAUUUGCCAAGCCAUGUAUUACGGUAUUUAUUAAACUGUCAAGGUAAUCUGAAUGGGAAAAGAAUAAAG